rnacentral:lncRNA from 1 species
UAUUGACUUAAUUGGGUCUAAAAACUACUCUAAACGCCUCUUGUCAACGUUCGAACUAGUCCCUAACCUUUGACUCAAAUAUAAAUAUUGGCUACAAAUAGACUUAUAGUUCUGCCUACAUUGGUCGUCUGCUUUAGUAUAUUUGUUACCAAGUAAAAUGCUGCUGUAGAGUUUAAUGAUCUCUUUGUCUACUGGGUUUCUCCAAUUUUCUGAUCGUUGGGAUUCGUGCAAGUCGAGAGAGUCUACUUGGUUGAAACUUUCUGGGUUUUGAUUUGAGUUGCCCAUUGGAUUUGAAGUUUUAGUCUUUUGUUGAGAUUCUGAGAGGACGCUUUAAAGAGUCAAGCUUUUCAUUCCUCUGAAUCCGUCCUUGUAUUGGACGUCUUGAUCUCUGUAUGCUCUCCUGGAGCUAUCGAAUCGAGUUUCUCAUUGACUGAU